GAUUAAGCUACUAAGGGCGUAUGGUGGAUGCCUUGGCGUCAAUAGGCGAUGAAGGACGUGGCAAGCUGCGAUAAGCUCCGGGGAGGUGCAAACAACUCUUGAUCCGGAGAUGUCCGAAUGGGGAAACCCGAUGCGGUAAACCCGCAUCACGAAGAAAUGAAUUCAUAGUUUCUUCGGGCAAACGAGGUGAACUGAACCAUCUUAGUAACCUCAGGAAGAGAAAGAAAUUUCGAUUUCCUAAGUAGCGGCGAGCGAACGGGAAAUAGCCUAAACCGAGCUGUAUGGAAGUCAGCAUGCGUUGUACAGCCGGGGUUGCGG
rnacentral:rRNA from 1 species